rnacentral:rRNA from 1 species
CCAGACUCCUACGGGAGGCAGCAGUGAGGAAUAUUGGUCAAUGGCCGGAAGGCUGAACCAGCCAAGCCGCGUGAAGGACGAAGGUGCCAAGCAUUGUAAACUUCUUUUGUCAAGGGACAAAAUCAGGCUCGAGAGCCUGACCGAGGGUACUUGAAGAAAAAGCAUCGGCUAACUCCGUGCCAGCAGCCGCGGUAAUACGGAGGAUGCGAGCGUUAUCCGGAUUUAUUGGGUUUAAAGGGUGCGUAGGCGGAGUGUUAAGCCGGCGGUAAAAGGCGGGGGCUCAACCCGGGCGAGCCGUUGAAACUGGCGUUCUUGAGUGAGCGAGAAGUAUGCGGAAUGCGUGGUGUAGCGGUGAAAUGCUUAGAUAUUGCGCAGAACUCCGAUUGCGAAGGCAGCAUACCGGCGGCGAUCUGACGCUGAGGCACGAAAGCGUAGGUAUCGAACAGGAUUAGAUACCCCAGUAC